UCCCCAGCAUCCAUGUGCCACCCAACAGCCUACACUCUGCUGUGCCCUCUGGGCUCUCUGAACAACGUCGAGAGCCAUGACAGACACUAAGAACCCUUAAGGAUCUUCAGCAAAAGCAGGGACCACAACCCCGUUUGGAGAAGCUGGCCAUCUCAAGGCAGGGACCCCAACCCUGCUCGGAGGAGCCAGUCUUGUCACGGCGGCUUUGUACAGUAAAGUUCCGAGAAACUCAGGGAAGUGUUCAAGCCUUCAACUGACCCAAGAAAUGGCUUGUCAAAACAAAAUGACAAACCAGGACUCAGCACAAGCCACGGAAGUGAGAGACCCAACGAUGUCUCCUGGAAGGCCGCUACUGCAGUGAAGCUGCUUCUGUUAAUACCUUCUCCACAAGCCCUCAGCAAUUCAGAGACGCACAGCCGGACACAGGCCCAAGUGUCCAGAAGGAAGGGGCAUUAGCACGCACUG